CUAGCACCAGGGCCUCUAACAGGAUC
rnacentral:misc_RNA from 1 species